rnacentral:tRNA from 1 species
GUCUCGUUCGUCUAGUGGUCCAGGACACCGGGCUUUCACCUCGGAGAUCGCGGGUUCGAACCCCGCACGAGACG